rnacentral:rRNA from 1 species
GUGAGGAAUAUUGCGCAAUGGAGGCAACUCUGACGCAGCCAUGCCGCGUGCAGGAAGAAGGCGCUACGCGUUGUAAACUGCUUUUAACCGGGAAGAAACCCCAGGACGUGUCCUGGGUUGACGGUACCGGAGGAAUAAGCACCGGCUAACUUCGUGCCAGCAGCCGCGGUAAUACGAAGGGUGCAAGCGUUAUCCGGAUUCAUUGGGUUUAAAGGGUGCGUAGGCGGAGCGUUAAGUCAGUGGUGAAAUCCUGCAGCUUAGCUGUAGACUUGCCAUUGAUACUGGCGCUCUUGAGUGCGCUUGAAGUGGGCGGAAUGUGCCGUGUAGCGGUGAAAUGCUUAGAUAUGGCACAGAACACCAAUUGCGAAGGCAGCUCACUAAGGCGAUACUGACGCUGAGGCACGAAAGCGUGGGGAUCGAACAGGAUUAGAAACCCGUGUAGUCC